GUACCUACGGGGGGCAGCAGUGGGGAAUAUUGCACAAUGGGGGAAACCCUGAUGCAGCGACGCCGCGUGAGUGAAGGAGUAUCUCGGUACGUAAAGCUCUAUCAGCAGGGCAGAAAAAAAGACUUUGGCUUUGGACGGUACCUGACUAAGAAGCCCCGGCUAGCUACGUGCCAGCAGCCGCGGUAAUACGUAGGGGGCAAGCGUUAUCCGGAUUUACUGGGUGAAAAGGGAGCGUAGACGGCAGCGCAAGCAUGGAGCGAAA
rnacentral:rRNA from 1 species